CACCGCCCGUCACACCAUGGGAGUCAGUUGCUCCAGAAAUCGGUACGCCAACCGCAAGGAGGCAGCCGCUCGAGGAGUGACUGGUAACUGGGGUG
rnacentral:rRNA from 1 species